AGAUCCAUUCCUCACAUCACAUCACAUCACAUAUCCAAGCUUGUCCUAAAGAGGUCUGAUGGCGGAUCAGGAUAAUAAGAGGUGUUUCGGGGAGUACCAGUGUCCCAAAUGCACGAGGAAAUGGAUGAGUGGGAACUCGUGGCCGAACAUGGGUCAGGAGUGCACCAAAUGCCACAUCAACGUCCAUGCUCACACACAGCGUCCUCUGGAGAAACCCCACAGCCUGGAC